rnacentral:lncRNA from 1 species
CACAGUCCCUAGGCCCUUCCUGCCAGGGGCACACUGACCUGGAGUCCAGGUCUCAGCGAUGGGAUGCUCUCUUCCUACAUGGCUCCUUCCCUGUGUUGAGCUAAAAUCCUGCUCCCUGUGAGUGUUCCUCCUUGGGUCCAAAUGCGCCCUUCAGGGGCUCCCUGAGCACCUGUCUCAUCCAGGAGGGGAGAUUUAAAUUGAAGGGGACUGAAGCCAGAGCAAGCGGGGCCCCAGCACCCCACCGACAGCUCAUUCUCUUCCCUUUCCCAGGAGUGCGACAUCCUAACGAACUUCUCACUAUGGGCUGUCAUCUCUGCUCUGCAGAAAACUGAAGAGCUCCAAAAACUUCAAGUUGCUGUACAGAAAAGACAGGUCCUUCAGCAGAGAACUGAUGACCAAGCCACCAGCACCCCAACACUGAGCCCUGUACCACUGGCAGAUCACAGCCCCAUCCUCAGCAGUGGGGACUCGGCUGGGAUGCUUGGCAUGCACUGGGCCAGCUUCUCCCACCUGAUGGGAAGGAGAACAUUGUAAGCUGAUUCCUGGGGUCUCCUGAGGCCAGAGAGAGAGGACAGCCCUGCCCCAUUGCCUGACAUCUCUAUCCUGCCACCUAUUUACCUAUUGAGGAGGGACAAGAUUCAUGAUUG